rnacentral:rRNA from 1 species
UAAGGAAUAUGGGUCAAUGGACGCAAGUCUGAACCAGCCAUGCCGCGUGAAGGAUGAAGGUCCUCUGGAUUGUAAACUUCUUUUAUCUGGGACGAAAACGGGAUUUUUAUCUCAAUUGACGGUACCAGAGGAAUAAGCACCGGCUAACUCCGUGCCAGCAGCCGCGGUAAUACGGAGGGUGCGAGCGUUAUCCGGAUUUACUGGGUUUAAAGGGUGCGUAGGUGGGCUUAUAAGUCAGUGGUGAAAUCUCCGAGCUUAACUUGGAAACUGCCGUUGAUACUAUAGGUCUUGAAUUAUCUGGAGGUAAGCGGAAUAUGUCAUGUAGCGGUGAAAUGCUUAGAUAUGACAUAGAACACCAAUUGCGAAGGCAGCUUACUACAUAUAAAUUGACGCUGAGGCACGAAAGCGUGGGGAUCAAACA